CCCCAGCCCUGAUGGAAGCGGCAUCCUUUUUCUGGCUGCUCCAGACAGAAAAAGAUACAGCGGACAGCAGGAAACAGC
rnacentral:sRNA from 1 species